rnacentral:rRNA from 1 species
CUACGGGCCGCACCAGUGGGGAAUAUUGCACAAUGGAGAAAACUCUGAUGCAGCAACGCCGCGUGGAGGAUGACACUUUUCGGAGCGUAAACUCCUUUUAUAUAGGAAGAAGAUGACGGUACUAUAUGAAUAAGCGCCGGCUAACUCCGUGCCAGCAGCCGCGGUAAUACGGAGGGCGCAAGCGUUGCUCGGAAUCACUGGGCGUAAAGAGCGUGUAGGCGGAUUAAAAAGUCAGAAGUGAAAUCCUAUAGCUUAACUAUAGAACUGCUUCUGAAACUCUUAAUCUAGAAUAUGGGAGAGGUAGAUGGAAUUUCUGGUGUAGGGGUAAAAUCCGUAGAGAUCAGAAGGAAUACCGAUUGCGAAGGCGAUCUACUAGAACAUUAUUGACGCUGAGACGCGAAAGCGUGGGGAGCAAACAGGAUUAGAUACCCGUGUAGUC